CCGCUCAGGGUUAGUCGGGACCUAAGCCGAGGCCGAUAGGCGUAGGCGAUGGACAACAGGUAGAGAUUCCUGUACCAGUGCUAAUUGUUUAACCGAUGGGGUGACACAGAAGGAUAGGGAAUCGCACGAAUGGAAAUGUGCGUCCAAGCAGUGAGUGUGAGAAGUAGGCAAAUCCGCUUCUCGCGAAGCAUGAGCUGUGAUGGGGAAGGAAAUUAAGUACGGAAGUUCCUGAUUUCACGCUGUCAAGAAAAGCCUCUAGGAAGAGUAGUACUGCCCGUACCGCAAACCGACACAGGUAGAUGAGGAGAGAAUCCUAAGGUGAGCGAGAGAACUCUCGUUAAGGAACUCGGCAAAAUGACCCCGUAACUUCGGGAGAAGGGGUGCUCUAUUAGGGUGCAAGCCCGAGAGAGCCGCAGUGAAUAGGCCCAGGCGACUGUUUAGCAAAAACACAGGUCUCUGCAAAACCGUAAGGUGACGUAUAGGGGCUGACGCCUGCCCGGUGCUGGAAGGUUAAGAGGAGUGCUUAGCUUCGGCGAAGGUACGAAUUGAAGCCCCAGUAAACGGCGGCCGUAACUAUAACGGUCCUAAGGUAGCGAAAUUCCUUGUCGGGUAAGUUCCGACCCGCACGAAAGGCGCAACGAUCUGGGCACUGUCUCAACGAGAGACUCGGUGAAAUUAUAGUACCUGUGAAGAUGCAGGUUACCCGCGACAGGACGGAAAGACCCCGUGGAGCUUUACUGCAACCUGAUAUGGAAUGUUUGUACCGCUUGUACAGGAUAGGUAGGAGCCGAAGAGACGUGUGCGCUAGCAUACGAGGAGGCAAUGGUGGGAUACUACCCUGGCUGUAUGACCAUUCUAACCCGCCACGCUUAGCGCGUGGGGAGACAGUGUCAGGUGGGCAGUUUGACUGGGGCGGUCGCCUCCUAAAGAGUAACGGAGGCGCCCAAAGGUUCCCUCAGAAUGGAUGGAAAUCAUUCGCAGAGUGUAAAGGCACAAGGGAGCUUGACUGCGAGACUGACAAGUCGAGCAGGGACGAAAGUCGGGCUUAGUGAUCCGGUGGUUCCGCAUGGAAGGGCCAUCGCUCAACGGAUAAAAGCUACCCCGGGGAUAACAGGCUUAUCUCCCCCAAGAGUCCACAUCGACGGGGAGGUUUGGCACCUCGAUGUCGGCUCGUCGCAUCCUGGGGCUGUAGUCGGUCCCAAGGGUUGGGCUGUUCGCCCAUUAAAGCGGCACGCGAGCUGGGKKCAGAACGUCGUGAGACAGUUCGGUCCCUAUCCGGCGCGGGCGCAGGAAAUUUGAGAGGAGCUGUCCUUAGGACGAGAGGA
rnacentral:rRNA from 1 species